ACCAUCCUGUAUAGGGGACUGGAUUCUGAUGAGCUCAUAUUAGACUAAACCUCUUUCUGCUUUGCAAACAUGUCUCUGUAUUCGUUAUCACUGGAUGCAGUUCUUGAAUUGAGAUUCACCUCCUUGCUUAUGAACAGUCACCUGUUCAUUGGAUUUGGGCAGAACACUUUUGUUUUUUUUAAUCAGAGUACCCCUGGCAUGCUCUUUUCAUCCAUUCGUUGUCGAAUUCCAACAUAUCAACUUUGUUUGUGGCCUGUAUUUUUGGCGAGGAAAGCAUCUCAUGCUAGGUGUUGAGUGAUUAAUCAUAUGCCAACUAAGAUAUCUAGUGCAAUUUGUGGAUUAGGUUUCUCAGUUUAGAUCCUCUAGGGAUUCCAUUCCAAGUUGUAAAAUAUUCUGCUGUGGGUUCAGCGGUUCAAAGGUGGUCUUUGAGCUUGUCCUUCCAUGUCAAUAGAGCUGACUGCAUAGCAGGGUUCUCAAAGAACAACAUUGUGCCGUAAGAGUUCUCAAAGCACAGCAGUUCAGUGUUGCUUUACCUCGUCUUACUUUUUGUUAAGGUAUGUUACCCCAUCAUCUAUAGGAUUAAUUUUCCAACUUGGCUCCCUUUUAUGGACCUCUCAGAUUUUUCUCAUUUGAAGCUGAAAUUUGAUCUCAUCGAUCGAAAAAGAUCAGAACACAAAUCACUAGGAUUAACCAACCCUUUUCCUUUUCAACUUGAAUGAUGACAUUUUUUAUUGGCUGUAUUGAAGGUUGACCUCCUCAAUGAGUCUAUUCUGAUAGAUGUUAGCUCAUGAUUAUCAAAAUAUAUUUCUUCUGUUUUAAAUACUUUAACUGGGGAUGUGAAAUGCAAGAAAUGUGAUUUAUACAAGCAGAACAUUCAUGAUUUGUUGGUAACCUGCUUAAUUCUCUCAAUGCAAUAUAUGAUCAAGUGUUGUUGAGUGAGCCAUGGAAUGCCUGUCUCUAAUAAAGCUUCAUCGAGUUGUUAUUUUUAGGAUUCCUCUCGAGGACAUCAAGAAUCAGCAGGAUAUCUGCACCUGAAGCUGCUUGAUUAUGUUGGAACUCAAUAAUGUAUAAUCUAAUAGUGGUUGUAUCGAGAACACAUGCCCAUUUGGAUUUCUGGCCUCCCAUCUUUUGGUGCAUUCUUUAUCCUUCUUCGAAGCAAACUUCAAACAGGCUCGACACAAGAGCUUAUGGAUGCAUUUUGAUGCAAGAGUGGAGUGCCAUUAGUUCAUAAGCAUGACACUGUGAAAAUAUGCUUUGUGACCUUUUUCUCUACGAGGGCUAACUAAAUUUUCCUCCCGAGAUUGAUUAUUUGUGUGAUUGGGGCUGGUCUUGUUUGCCAAAUACAAAACUAUUUGCACCAAAGGAGGUCCAAGAAAAAAUGUCAUGGAGCUGCUGUUGAUCUCUGUUCUGCGUAGCUUGGUAGAUUAGCUUUUCGGACACAUCUUGGUGCUGCCAUUUCCAGGUGUUUUUCUUGGCUUUCUUACAUGUCCAAGUGUUGAAUUGACUGAUAAUGCAUCGCCAGUUGCAGGAUGAACCAUGCAUGUCACUUGAUUACUCUGUGCAAAAGAGCCUCGGCUGUUGGAAUGGAAUGGGUUCCAGUAAGGACUAGUACUUGAAUGGAUGGUCGAACAAAGGUAAAGAUCUGCUGGUGCAUGUGCUUCUCAUUUUUGAUGUUGAACUGUUGCAAGAGACAGAGUGGAAAGAUGCAUGCACACAACUAUGUUGCAAUAGGGAGAUGCAGCUGAUGGUAAGCAGCAGCAGUUGACAUUCGAGUAGAAUGUCAAGCAAAGCAAUUUAUACGUAGACCGACACAGGUCUCAUGGCAAUCAUUGGCACGUUAGAUCAAACUCAGCAUUGAUGUGUUCUUGCCACCAAAACCUGGUCCUGUUGUUGAUGCCACUCAUCAUGUUUGUUGAUACCUCUCUCGACUGUUGAUGGAAGAAUUUGUGGGAUCCAACACAAAUCUGAUGGAUACUUUUUCUUUUAUUUAUACCCUGUUUGCAUCCAUGGUUCUCUGCAAGAAACUUUAGCCGGUCUACUGCUUACUGUUUGUUCGAUCGAGUUCAUUUUAGACUGCCCCUAAAACAUUGUUCUGAUAUA